GAUGAACGCUGGCGGCGUGCCUAACACAUGCAAGUCGAACGGAGUUAUGAUGUGAGCGGGAAGUGCUUGCACUAAACAAUCUUUUCAUAACUUAGUGGCGGACGGGUGAGUAACGCGUGGGUAACCUGCCCUGUACUGGGGGACAACAGUUGGAAACGACUGCUAAUACCGCAUAAGCGCACGGGAUCGCAUGAUCUAGUGUGAAAAACUCCGGUGGUACAGGAUGGACCCGCGUCUGAUUAGCUGGUUGGUGAGGUAACGGCCCACCAAGGCAACGAUCAGUAGCCGGCCUGAGAGGGUGAACGGCCACAUUGGGACUGAGACACGGCCCAAACUCCUACGGGAGGCAGCAGUGGGGAAUAUUGCACAAUGGGGGAAACCCUGAUGCAGCGACGCCGCGUGAGUGAAGAAGUAUUUCGGUAUGUAAAGCUCUAUCAGCAGGGAAGAUAGUGACGGUACCUGACUAAGAAGCUCCGGCUAAAUACGUGCCAG
rnacentral:rRNA from 1 species